UGGGGCCUACGGGGGGCAGCAGUGGGGAAUAUUGGGCAAUGGGCGCAAGCCUGACCCAGCAACGCCGCGUGAAGGAAGAAGGCCUUCGGGUUGUAAACUUCUUUUAUCAGGGACGAAGCAAGUGACGGUACCUGAUGAAUAAGCCACGGCUAACUACGUGCCAGCAGCCGCGGUAAUACGUAGGUGGCGAGCGUUAUCCGGAUUUACUGGGUGUAAAGGGCGGGUAGGCGGGAAUGCAAGUCAGAUGUGAAAACUAUGGGCUCAACCCAUAGCCUGCAUUUGAAACUGUAUUUCUUGAGUGCUGG
rnacentral:rRNA from 1 species